GACGAAGGGGGCUAGCGUUGUUCGGAAUUACUGGGCGUAAAGCGAGUGUAGGUGGUUGUCCAAGUUGGGUGUGAAAGCCUUGAGCUCAACUCAAGAAAUGCAUUCAGGACUGGGCGGCUAGAGGACCGGAGAGGAUAGUGGAAUUCCCAGUGUAGUGGUGAAAUACGUAGAGAUUGGGAAGAACACCGGUGGCGAAGGCGGCAUCCUGGACCGGCAUUGGCGCUGAGUGAGCGAAAGCCAGGGGAGCAAACGGG
rnacentral:rRNA from 1 species